GGUGAAGAGGAGGCAAGCGCACUGUGUGGAGGAGGCGAGGGUGAGGCAGGGCGGGAGCUGCAGGGGUGGUACCUGCCACCGGCCCUCCCAGAGUGGCCGAGAAGGUUCAAGAUGACGGGUGUUCCUGUGCCUGGAACAAAGGGAGCGCUCAGCAGCGGGCUGGUUGGCCAUCCCUGGAGGCUGCUCCCCGUGUCCCGGCCCACCCAGCAGCGAGGCCCACCCUCCCUGAGCCCGCUGUGUGCAGGCUCCCAGGAGAUCCUGAGAUCACAGAGGAGCCAGCAAAGAUUCAUUAACGGAGUGGACGACGAUACGUUCUUGCUGCUGUCAGAGGCAGCCCGAGGCUGCAGGGGACAGCCGUGUGCCAUGGCACUUGUCGUUUCGCACGUGGGUGAGGCUAACCUGAGGAUCAAUCCCUGGAGUGCUGGGUCAGGAGACAUGUCAUCGCAAUUCUGACAGCUGUCAACUCGCCUUCUGCAGAGGUUGGACCACGCCCCUCCCCCAGGAAGGUAGGAGAUCGCCAGCUCAUGCACAGCCGGGGCAAAGCCCUAGUGUUGCAAAUUUUGUUUUUUUGCCAAUCAGAUAGGUGAAGAAUGGUGGCUCUGUGUGCUUUUAUUGUCAUUUAAUCUGACUGAGGUUGACCAUCGUUUCCGGUGUGUGUGUAUGUGGAGCUCCUCCUCCAGAUGAAUUCCAGAGCAACACUGAGCUCAGACAGCAGAGGAGCUCCGGACACGCUGCUCCCACAUGAUGCUCAUCGCCCUGGGCUGACGGGGACAGCCCCGCGGUGCCUGUUCAAGAAGUGGCCACCUGGUGAAGGGCAAGGUUUUGAGUUCCUUUCUGCGACUUACUUUCUGAGGCUCAGAUUCCUCAUCUGUAAAAAAUAAGAAUAAUAAUAAAAUCCACUUUAGAGGGCUCUCGGAAAGAUGAGUUUAAGUUUUUAAUGUUAAGUAC
rnacentral:lncRNA from 1 species